GACGAACGCUGGCGGCGUGCCUAAUACAUGCAAGUCGAGCGGACGGAUGGGAGCUUGCUCCCAGACCGUCAGCGGCGGACGGGUGAGUAACACGUGGGCAACCUGCCUGUAAGACUGGGAUAACUCCGGGAAACCGGGGCUAAUACCGGAUAACUCUUUCCCUCACAUGAGGGAAAGCUGAAAGAUGGCAUCUCGCUAUCACUUACAGAUGGGCCCGCGGCGCAUUAGCUAGUUGGUGAGGUAACGGCUCACCAAGGCGACGAUGCGUAGCCGACCUGAGAGGGUGAUCGGCCACACUGGGACUGAGACACGGCCCAGACCCCUGCGGGAGGCAGCAGUGGGGAAUCUUCCGCAAGGGACGAAAGUCGGACGGGGCAACGCCGCGUGAGGGAUGAAGGUUUUAGGAUCGUAAAACUGUGUUGUCAGGGAAGAACAAGUACCGGAGAAACGCCCGGUACCUUGAGGGUACCUAACAAGAAAGCCACGGCUAACUACGGG
rnacentral:rRNA from 1 species